rnacentral:rRNA from 1 species
UACGUAGGGGGCAAGCGUUGUCCGGAAUCAUUGGGCGUAAAGAGCGCGUAGGCGGCCCGGUAAGUCCGCUGUAAAAGUCCAGGCUCAACCCUGGAAAGCCGGUGGAUACUGUCGGGCUCGAGUCCGGAAGAGGCGAGUGGAAUUCCUGGUGUAGCGGUGGAAUGCGCAGAUAUCAGGAGGAACACCAAUGGCGAAGGCAGCUCGCUGGGACGGUACUGACGCUGAGGCGCGAAAGCGUGGGGAGCAAACAGG